CGCUCCCUGGUGUGUUGGCCAGUCGGUGAUGUCCCUGAGCCGAUAACUGCAACAACGGAGGUUGCCAGUUGGACCGGUGUGCAUGUCCGCACGACGGAAAGCCUUAAGGUCUACUGCAACCGCCACC
rnacentral:sRNA from 1 species